rnacentral:rRNA from 1 species
UAUAAUAAUCAACGCUGGCGGUAGGCUAUCCUUGGAUGUAGAGCGCGCCUUCGGGUGCGCGGCGGUACAGGGUUAGUAACGCGUGAACGUGCCCUUCUCUACGGAAUAGCCUCUGGAAACGGAGAGUAAUACCGUAUACGCCCUUUGGGGGAAAGAUUUAUCGGAGAAGGAUCGGCCCGCGUUAGAUUAGGUAAGUUGGUGGGGUAACGGCCUACCAAUGCCUACGAUCUAUUAGCUUGGUAUAAGAGGAUGAUCAGGAACACUGGUGACUGGAGAAACGGCCCAAAAUACUUACCGGAAGCAACAAUGGGGGAAUUAUACGACCAAUGGGGGGCAAACCUGAAUCUAAAGCAAUUGGCCGCGUGAAAUGAAUGAAAGGGCUUAAGAGAGGUCGUAAAAGCU